rnacentral:rRNA from 1 species
UACAGAGGUCUCAAGCGUUGUUCGGAUUCAUUGGGCGUAAAGGGUGCGUAGGCGGCGCGGUAAGUCGGGUGUGAAAUCUUGGAGCUUAACUCCGAAACUGCAUUCGAUACUGCCGUGCUUGAGGACUGGAGAGGAGACUGGAAUUUACGGUGUAGCGGUGAAAUGCGUAAAUAUCGUAAGGAAGACCAGUGGCGAAGGCGGGUCUCUGGACAGUUCCUGACGCUGAGGCACGAAGGCCAGGGGAGCAAACGGG